GCCGAGCCACACAAACGUUAUUCGGAAUUACUGGGCUUAAAGGGUGCGUAGGCGGCGCGGAAAGUUGGGUGUGAAAUCCCUCGGCUCAACCGAGGAAUGGCGCUCAAAACUACCGUGCUCGAGGGAGAUAGAGAGGUGCGGAACUUACGGUGGAGCGGUGAAAUGCGUUGAUAUCGUAGGGAACACCGGUGGCGAAAGCGGCACUCUGGAUCUCUUCUGACGCUGAUGCACGAAAGCUAGGGUAGCGAACGGG
rnacentral:rRNA from 1 species